UCGCCGUAUAAACAAAUCAAGUUCUAAAUACAACCUCGGUCCUUGGGUAGGAUACCGAGUUUUCAAAAAUAAAUAAUGAAAGUUCGAAAUACAACCUGAUGGUUAUUCUGUUGGAUUUUCAAUUCAUGCAAUUAAGGAUACAUUUAUCUAAAUUCUUCUGAACUCAGCUCAUAUUCCUUCUGAACUCAGCUCACAUUCCAAUAGAUGAAUGGGAAAGGGGAAAAGUUGCAUGUUGUUGAACGGUGUUUGGGUGGGUCUGAAUGGUGAAACAAACAUGGUCUAACAAAAUUGACAUGGAAUGCAGUUGAAUUUAGAGGGGACAAAGUUAAAUUUCAGAAAAUUUAAUAAAGUUCCCUUGAUUAUUGUUAACUGUAUAUUGCAGUAUAAACAAUUUUUUCCAUCUCCGGCUCAUGUGAACAGCUUGUGAUACAGACAUACAGUGAUUUUGGCAUAUGAUUUGAGGAAACUUCACAAGUCUGAUUAUAGGCUCUACUAUUGUUAACUAAGUUUUACUUGCAAUUCAUAAACUAGAACUAGAAUGCGUUAUUGAGUUUUUGAGAAAUUAAUCUGCUGGAGCAAUGGGAGAUUUACUUA